rnacentral:rRNA from 1 species
GAGCUUGCUCUUCUGGAUCAGUGGCGAACGGGUGAGUAACACGUGAGUAACCUGCCCUUGACUCUGGGAUAAGCGUUGGAAACGACGUCUAAUACCGGAUACGAGCUUCAGCCGCAUGGCUAGGAGUUGGAAAGAAUUUUGGUCAAGGAUGGACUCGCGGCCUAUCAGGUUGUUGGUGAGGUAACGGCUCACCAAGCCUACGACGGGUAGCCGGCCUGAGAGGGUGACCGGCCACACUGGGACUGAGACACGGCCCAGACUCCUACGGGAGGCAGCAGUGGGGAAUAUUGCACAAUGGGCGAAAGCCUGAUGCAGCAACGCCGCGUGAGGGACGACGGCCUUCGGGUUGUAAACCUCUUUUAGCAGGGAAGAAGCGAAAGUGACGGUACCUGCAGAAAAAGCACCGGCUAACUACGUGCCAGCAGCCGCGGUAAUACGUAGGGUGCAAGCGUUAUCCGGAAUUAUUGGGCGUAAAGAGCUCGUAGGCGGUUGGUCGCGUCUGCUGUGAAAUCCCGAGGCUCAACCUCGGGUCUGCAGUGGGUACGGGCCAGCUAGAGUGCGGUAGGGGAGAAUGGAAUUCCUGGUGUAGCGGUGGAAUGCGCAGAUAUCAGGAGGAACACCGAUGGCGAAGGCAGUUCUCUGGGCCGUUACUGACGCUGAGGAGCGAAAGCGUGGGGAGCGAACAGGAUUAGAUACCCUGGUAGUCCACGCCGUAAACGUUGGGCGCUAGAUGUGGGGACCAUUCCACG